rnacentral:tRNA from 1 species
GGUUGUAGCUCAGCAGUAAGAGUGCUCGCCUAGCACUUGUGAGACCCUGGGUUCAAUCCUCAGCACCA